GUAAAAACAUUUUUUUCCACCACCUAGGAUCCAGCUAAAAAAGGUUUAAGGCCUAUCCAUGUAGCCAUUAUUGCAAUCUUUGUGUGUGUGUGUGUGUGUGUGGAUGACUUGAUAUAGAGGUGAUGGGUGAUCUUAUGGGGACCUAUUGGUCAGGCAGUGACUUACUUCAUUUUAAUUCUUUGCAGGUCAAGAUUUUGAUUGUUUCCCAGAGAUUAGAGUGGCACGGUACACAGUAUGGAGGGCUUCACCUGGGGAACAACUGAAGAUUAACUGUUCUGUUGAUUUAUGUUCCAACUCACCACCACCAUCACUAUGGUGUAAGGUUGAAUCAAACAACUGCAAUACUGUCAACACAACAGCUCUCAUUCAAACACAGUGGACCAAUUUGACAAACACUACAGGGAUCUCAUUUCUGACUUUCAAAAACAUAUCCAGAGGUGAUGCUGGUCUAUACAGGUGUGAAUUACACAAGGCUGUGGGUCAUUCUAUCAAUGUUAUCGUCUCAGAGAGAGUCAAAGACACCACAGAUGUGUAUCAGAACAAUGAAACAACAAACAGUACAGUGAGUCAGAGGGACAGCUUCCUGGAGUGGGUGUGGCCUUAUGUUUACUCCUCGGCUGGGAUUGUGGUGUUUGUCAUCGUGGUGAUAACCAUAUCCAUGCUCUCAAUGCGUGGUUGUAAAGGUGCCUGUCCGUCCAGGAGGUCAAGGAAAGAGGACCAAACAGAGAACCAGUUCAAACAGACAUACACUUUACACAUCUCCCUUUCAUUUAGUCCUGUAUUAGUACUAUUAGUACAGAUUCUGAAUGGUCUUUAAUGUGUUUACAGUAUGUUACAUGGUGGAGUCUUUUGGUGCGCUCCUUGUCUGUCAGU